rnacentral:rRNA from 1 species
AGAGUUUGAUCCUGGCUCAGAACGAACGCUGGCGGCAUGCCUAACACAUGCAAGUCGAACGAACCCUUCGGGGUUAGUGGCGCACGGGUGCGUAACGCGUGGGAACCUGCCUUUUGGUUCGGAAUAACUCAGAGAAAUUUGAGCUAAUACCGGAUAAUGUCUUCGGACCAAAGAUUUAUCGCCAUUAGAUGGGCCCGCGUAAGAUUAGCUAGUUGGUGGGGUAAAGGCCUACCAAGGCGACGAUCUUUAGCUGGUCUGAGAGGAUGAUCAGCCACACUGGGACUGAGACACGGCCCAGACUCCUACGGGAGGCAGCAGUGGGGAAUAUUGGACAAUGGGCGAAAGCUGAUCCAGCAAUGCCGCGUGAGUKAUGAAGGCCUUAGGGUUGUDAAG